AUUACUAUUGAAACCGCACUGCAU
rnacentral:siRNA from 1 species